rnacentral:rRNA from 1 species
GAUGAACGCUGGCGGCGUGCCUAAUACAUGCAAGUCGAGCGAACAGACGAGGAGCUUGCUCCUCUGACGUUAGCGGCGGACGGGUGAGUAACACGUGGAUAACCUACCUAUAAGACUGGGAUAACUUCGGGAAACCGGAGCUAAUACCGGAUAAUAUAUUGAACCGCAUGGUUCAAUAGUGAAAGACGGUUUUGCUGUCACUUAUAGAUGGAUCCGCGCCGCAUUAGCUAGUUGGUAAGGUAACGGCUUACCAAGGCAACGAUGCGUAGCCGACCUGAGAGGGUGAUCGGCCACACUGGAACUUAGACACGGUCCAGACUCCUACGGGAGGCAGCAGUAGGGAAUCGUCCGCAAUGGGCGAAAGCCUGACGGAGCAACGCCGCGUGAGUGAUGAAGGUCUUCGGAUCGUAAAACUCUGUUAUUAGGGAAGAACAAAUGUGUAAGUAACUAUGCACGUCUUGACGGUACCUAAUCAGAAAGCCACGGCUAACUACGUG